rnacentral:rRNA from 1 species
GAUCCUGGCUCAGGACGAACGCUGGCGGCGUGCCUAAUACAUGCAAGUAGAACGCUGAAGGAGGAGCUUGCUUCUCUGGAUGAGUUGCGAACGGUGAGUAACGCGUAGGUAACCUGCCUGGUAGCGGGGGAGUAACUAUUGGAACGAUAGCUAUACCGCAUAACAGUAGAUGUUGCAUGACAUUUGUCUUAAAAGGUAGCAAUUGCAUCACUACCAGAUGG